rnacentral:rRNA from 1 species
GACGAACGCUGGCGGCGUGCCUAAUACAUGCAAGUUGAGCGCUGAAGGUUGGUACUUGUACCAACUGGAUGAGCAGCGAACGGGUGAGUAACGCGUGGGGAAUCUGCCUUUGAGCGGGGGGCAACAUUUGGAAACGAAUGCUAAUACCGCAUAAAAACUUUAAACACAAGUUUUAAGUUUGAAAGAUGCAAUUGCAUCACUCAAAGAUGAUCCCGCGUUGUAUUAGCUAGUUGGUGAGGUAAAGGCUCACCAAGGCGAUGAUACAUAGCCGACCUGAGAGGGUGAUCGGCCACAUUGGGACUGAGACACGGCCCAAACUCCUACGGGAGGCAGCAGUAGGGAAUCUUCGGCAAUGGACGAAAGUCUGACCGAGCAACGCCGCGUGAGUGAAGAAGGUUUUCGGAUCGUAAAACUCUGUUGGUAGAGAAGAACGUUGGUGAGAGUGGAAAGCUCAUCAAGUGACGGUAACUACCCAGAAAGGGACGGCUAACUACGUG